AAAACAUCUCAAUUUCUCAGAACUGUGCAGAUACACACACACACACACACACACACACACACACACACACACACAGACGCUCUGAGACCUUCCAGUAAUAUGAUAUAAAUAAAUGUUUUAUUUCCGUAGUUUCCCCGUCAGUGGUUUCACACCCUCUUUCUACAUUAAAAUGAAUAUAUAACAUUUCUAAAUUACAUUAAGAUAAAUAUACGUCUCUAAAUUUUGUGUGAUUGAUUUUAUCGUGUUCACUCACUCAUUGUGUGUGUUUUGGGCUUUUAUUGUGAAUGGUAACAACAGAAGUGGGUGAUCUGCAGCAUGGGACAAAUGAUAUAUUUUAUUAUUGUUUUCACUGAAAAAUAAAAUACAUAGUGUUUAUUUAGAUCAGAGGGAGAAGCAAUUCUCUGUAUUUUUUAGAGCAAAAACUAAAUGUAAGACAAAUAAGAAAUCAUUAUAGAGGAGGAAACUAUAUUAAUAUCUGCUUUGUUGAUAUUGUCUUUGGAUGUUUUGAUGUGUGGGAGUUUGAGGUUCUUAUUGUCAGUUUAUUACUUCGGUUAAUGGAGAAACAGAAAGGAGGAUGGACUGAAGCCAUUAAUAUGAGUUCAAGUUUAUGCUUUAUUUACAUUAUUUCCCUUCCGUCAGACAGACCUUUCAGAUGGGAACUGAAGCUGGUAUACAUCCAUCAGCCAUAACAUUUUGACACUGGCAGGGGAAGUGGUAGUUAUUUUGAUCAUUUCAUUCCAAUGGGACCUGUCAAUGAGCGAAAUAUAUUAAACAGCAAGCUCAAGUGUAUUUAUAUAGCACAUUUAAAACAAUGCAAAGGGCCAAAAGUGCUGUUCAAAGCUGCAGAUAGAAAUGCAAAAUAUGCUAAAGCUAGUAAGAUAAGAAUAAGUACAAAAUAUGCUAAAUCUGAUAAAAACGGAUACACUGUCAUAGAUAAAUGGCAUCUAAAACACAACCAGAAGAUAAAACGAAUAAGUCACACGCUUGUAUAAAAAGUCAGUGCAAAUAGAUGUGUCUUUAAAAGAGAUUAAAAUGCUCAAUGAACAAGUAAAAUAUAGUCCUCAAAGCUGAUGUUUUGAAAAAAUAAUGAGAAAAUAUGGCAUAAUUAAAAGGAAACCUCUUUCUUAUUCUGAAAAAAUAUUGUAAUUAAUAGAGAAUGUGUAAUUAAGAGGGAAAAAAUAUCACAAUUAUGAGAAAAAAAGUCAUUAUUCAUCAUCAUUGCAUGGAAAAACAUACAGAUUUUUUCCAUAAAAAUAGAACUGUAUUGUAUUUUUCCAACCCUGUACUUUUAUUCAUCCUAUUUUCUUGCAUCUUCUCAUAUUUUUAUGUAAAAUAGUGCUUGUCAAUUGAUAACUAGGUUUACAUUUCCUCAUAAUUUUUUAAAAUAAAGUGUGAUAAUUCAUUUUACGGUGUGAUUCAUAUUUGUGCAGAUGCAGUAUAUAAUGAACCAAACUGCUUUAAAUCCCAUUCAGUCCUGUAGAAGGCGUUUUGAUGCUCACGUGUAGUUCUAGUUUCCUUCCUCUGAUAGAUGUUGAUUAUAUAUUGGUACUUGUGGAUUAUUUUCUUCCGUCUGUUCUUGUUGAUUUGUGAGUCAUGUUAACAUUUUGUUGUGCUUCGUUUCACCUCCAUCCUGCUGAUAAAUGAUCUGAACCUGCUGGGAUCCCAUCAGCGGGAGAUGUUUGUCACACAAUUAUCAUAUGUGAACAAAACCACCCUCACAUCUCUGUUAUGGGGAAAACUCAGCGGCUGAUAAUGAAACACAGAGCUGCGUGUUUUA